UACGUAGGGGGCAAGCGUUGUCCGGAUUUAUUGGGCGUAAAGAGCGUGUAGGCGGCCAGGUAGGUCUGCUGUGAAAACUCGAGGCUUAACCUCGAGCUGUCGGCGGAAACCAUCUGGCUAGAGUCCGGAAGAGGAGAAUGGAAUUCCCGGUGUAGCGGUGAAAUGCGCAGAUAUCGGGAAGAACACCCGUGGCGAAGGCGGUUCUCUGGGACGGUACUGACGCCGAGACGCGAAAGCGUGGGGAGCGAACAGG
rnacentral:rRNA from 1 species